GCUAACUCAAAUGCCCUCUCCUCUCUGGCAGGUUCCUGCCCUGGGCUCCUGGGCUCUCACACCCCCACACCAGGGUCACCCCCACAUCAGCCUCAUGAUGGCCUGUUUUCUCAUCAGUCAAUACUCUCAGGAAUGAAUACAUGAAUGGAAUGAGUUACGAGAGUGAAGGAGAAGGGUCCCUUUGGCCUUCAUGAAGUAAUGCUUGAAGAUUCCAAGGAUUAAGAUCUGAACAUUUUAGGAGGCUCUUUGCAUCAACCACCAUUCUCCCCAACACGCCCAGAUCUUCCCUGGGCCACGCCUCUGCAGCCUUCUGAUUUCAGCUUAAACUGUAUCAAUCAAAGGAGUAUUUUUAGGAUCCCUCUGUUGAAAGGGGCUCCGGCACCUCUCCCAUCCACAGCUCUGCCCUUAGUAGCCCCUCCCUCCUCUUGCUUCUUUCCUUCAUGGCAGUAACUGUAACGAUGCAGAGUAUUGACCUAUUUUAUUUUCUCAUACUCUCUGCCUCUGUAUCGUUGGCUUCUGCUAGCCCAGCACCCAGCACCAAGCCUGGCACAUAGUCUUCCCUGAGCCUCCGUGGGCAGACAGUCCUCUUCAUGUAACAUAUGCAGUGAACACCCACGACCCGCCCAGCACAUCUGAAGCCUGCAGUCAACACUGGUUCCGGUCCCAUGGGAGCAGCAUCGGCACCACAUGGGGCCUUCAAGAAUUUCAAGAAACUCCUGGGACAUCAAUAUACAUGUGCGAAGAGGUUCAAGAUGGAGCUAUUACUUCAAAACAAACAGGGACCUCCCUGGUGGUCCAGUGGCUCAGACUCCAUGCUCCCAAUGCAGAAGGCCCAGGCUUGAUCCCUGGUCGGGGAACGAGAUCCCGCAUGUGGCAACUAAAGAUCCCACAUACCGCAACCAAGACCUGGCACAGCUGAAAAUAUAUGUGUAUUUU
ensembl:lncRNA